rnacentral:rRNA from 1 species
GACGAACGCUGGCGGCGUGCUUAACACAUGCAAGUCGAACGAAGUGGCGAACGGGUGAGUAAUACGUGGGUAACCUGUCCCGCGUUUUGGGACAAGCCUUGGAAACGGGGUAUACUACCGAAUAAUGGGGGAUGGGCCCGGGGUCUAUCAGCUGGUUGGUGGGGUGAUGGCCUACCAAGGCGGUGACGGGUAGCCGGCCGUAGGGGGUGACUGGGCUCAUUACAACUGUGAUACGGCCCCGAGACCUACUGGAGGCAGCUGUUGGGGAUAUUACACAAGUGGCGCGAAGCUGAUGCGGGGUCGCCGCGUGGGAGAUAGGGGCGUUCGGGUUGGAAACGUCUUUAGCUAUCGAAUGGGUAGGUGGAUAGGAAGCGCCGGCUAACUACGUGCCAGCAGCCGCGGUAAUUC